UACCCUGGUAUUGGGUGGUGACGCUGAACACCACAUCGUUUGGCCCCUCCUUCAGCUGCAGGCUGGCCUGCACACACACACACACACACACACACACACACACACACACACACACACACACACACACACACACACACACACACACACACACACACACACACACACACACA